rnacentral:lncRNA from 1 species
UUUGAUCGAAAAUUUGGGGCUUGUUGUGAGAUUUUGGAGCACUUUGUGCCCCCCUUAGGUUGUGGUGGUGUUGUAUUUGGUGUGAACCACUUGAGGGAGUAAGUUUGGGUCAUUACUGUUGUGAGGGCCAUUAUGGAGGUUGUAACCUUCAACACCCUGCUAGUUGGGAUAGUUUGGAAGGAAGAAAUGAAUGGGGGUUGAUGUUUGGUGCCAUCGGG